CAUCGUCGACGAACCGGAGUCCGGUUCGCGAGCAGGCU
rnacentral:misc_RNA from 1 species